UGGGGAAUAUUGCACAAUGGGCGCAAGCCUGAUGCAGCCAUGCCGCGUGUAUGAAGAAGGCCUUCGGGUUGUAAAGUACUUUCAGCGGGGAGGAAGGCGAUAAGGUUAAUAACCUUGUCGAUUGACGUUACCCGCAGAGAAGCACCGGCUAACUCCGUGCCAGCAGCCGCGGUAAUACGGAGGGUGCAAGCGUUAAUCGGAAUUACUGGGCGUAAAGCGCACGCAGGCGGUCUGUCAAGUCGGAUGUGAAAUCCCCGGGCUCAACCUGGGAACUGCAUUCGAAACUGGCAGGCUAGAGUCUUGUAGAGGGGGGUAGAAUUCCAGGUGUAGCGGUGAAAUGCGUAGAGAUCUGGAGGAAUACCGGUGGCGAAGGCGGCCCCCUGGACAAAGACUGACGCUCAGGUGCGAAAGCGUGGGGAGCAAACA
rnacentral:rRNA from 1 species